UCUUCAUUUCACGUGCUCUCUCACCGGCCAGAGAGGCGAGAGAGUGUGCGGAUUGAGGAGA
rnacentral:pre_miRNA from 1 species